rnacentral:tRNA from 1 species
GAGGGUACAGCUCAGUGGUAGAGUGCAUGCCUAGCAUGCACGAGGUCCUGGGUUCAAUCCCCAGUACCUCCA